rnacentral:rRNA from 1 species
GAUGAACGCUGGCGGCGUGCCUAAUACAUGCAAGUCGAGCGAACAGACGCGGAGCUUGCUCCUCUGACGUGAGCGGCGGACGGGUGAGUAACACGUGGAUAACCUACCUAUAAGACGGGGAUAACCUCGGGAAACCGGCGCUAAUACCGGAUAAGAUAUUGAACCGCAUGGUUCAAUGGUGAAUGACGGUUUUGCUGUCACGUAUCGAUGGAUCCGGGCCGCAUUAGGUGGUUGGUAAGGUCACGGCUUACCAAGGCAACCAUGCGUAGCCGACCGGAUAGACUGGUAGCCGACCUUGGAAGUUGACCACGCUCAAGGCGCCUACGGGAGGACGCAGACGCGAAUCGUACGCAACGGUCGGAAAUAUUGCAGAGUAGGGCCGCGUGAGAGGCGAAAACGUUGGGAUCGUAAAGCCGUCUUAUUAGGUAAGAACCGAUGUGGACGGAGAUAAGGCGUUAUUGACGGUACCUAAUCAAAAAGCAACGGCUAACUACGUG